rnacentral:lncRNA from 1 species
AAAUUCUGUCUGACACAUUUGCUGUAUCAAAGUAUGCCUUGAUAUCAAAGAUGUGAAAGAACCAUGCCUUGCUUUUGAAUACUGAAUCCCACCCAGAAGUACUUCUGUACUCAGAAGACUCUGAUCCUGCAUCCUCCCUUCAGUCUCUGGGCUCUUCAUCUGUAUUUCCUACUUAGGAGUCCUUGUCUGGCCUGUGCAGCCCAUAGAGUCAGCUCACAACCCUCUUUCUCCUCUGUUUUCACCAAAUAAGUUGAAUUUAAGGCAGGUUCUGUUCUAUUUAGGUGCAACCCGCUCAGAAUGAAUGAUAAUUUAUACUUGUUACUGAUAUAAAUCUGUACCCAGUGCCAGAAGCUGUGAGUGGUCCUGCGCACUUGUGAUUUCCACAUUGUCUGUCUACAGAAAGCACAGUUACAUUUCAGGAGCAGUGACUCAUCCCACUCCAGUCAAAGGAGUUUCCUGUAGGAAAGAAAAGGCUCCAAGCAGAGCUGUGGAGUUACAAUCAAUGAAGAUGCUGGUUCAUCAUCAAACCUGAGCAAGAACUUCAUGCACACUGACAGAUUGCCUUGUUCAACAAGGAGCAACCAGGAAGGAGUAAACAUCAUGCUCUCCUGCAUCAGAGCUGAGCCCCAAGUGUUCUUUUUGGACAGAAAGCCAGAGGAAAGUUGAACAUGUUUUCUCUAAAAGCAUCUGCAUUGCCAGCACUGGAAAAUGCUCAGGAUUUCUAAAAGCUGCUCCUGCAGAUAGUUUGACCAAAGCUGGCACUUGAAAGACAAAUCUCCCAGAAUCAAAGAGACAUGGUCCUGAACACUCCGACUGGCUUAUCCCAGGAAGCUGAUGGAUAAAAUGAACAUCAGAGAGUAAGUAGUAAAAGAAAGGAGAACCUGAGUCUUUAACAAGCACUUCGUUUGGGGGCUGCAUGACACACCCUCGAAACAGGGAUUAGUCAGAGUUCAAGAAAUCCACAAACUUGAUGCUGUAUGUCUGCACAACUCCAAAUUUUAUCCUAAUUAGUCUGGCAGUUACAGAGGAGGCAGUGUCCUGUCUAAAU